CAGUCGAACGCGAAAGUUUCUUCGGAAAUGAGUAGAGUGGCGCACGGGUGAGUAACGCGUGGAUUAUCUACCUAUUGGUACGGGACAACAGUUGGAAACGACUGCUAAUACCGUAUAAGCUGGAAACGGGAAAGGGGGCCUCUUCUUGAAAGCUCUCGCCAGUAGAUGAGUCCGCGUUUCAUUAGCUAGACGGUGGGGUAACGGCCUACCGUGGCAACGAUGAAUAGCAGGCCUGAGAGGGUGGCCUGCCACACUGGGACUGGAACACGGCCCAGACUCCUACGGGAGGCAGCAGUGGGGAAUAUUGCGCAAUGGACGAAAGUCUGACGCAGCGACGCCGCGUGGAGGAUGAAGGUUUUCGGAUCGUAAACUCCUGUCAAGAGGGAAGAAACCUAUUAAGAUUAAUACUCUUGGUAAUUGACGGUACCUCUAGAGGAAGCACCGGCUAAUUCAGUGCCAGCAGCCGCGGUAAUACUGAAGGUGCAAGCGUUAAUCGGAAUCACUGGGCGUAAAGCGCUCGUAGGUGGCUUUGUAAGUCAGGUGUGAAAGCCCACGGCUCAACCGUGGAAUUGCACUUGAUACUGCAUCGCUAGAGUAUAGGAGAGGGAAGUGGAAUUUCUGGUGUAGGAGUGAAAUCCGUAGAGAUCAGAAGGAACACCCGUGGCGAAGGCGACUUCCUGGACUAUUACUGACACUGAGGAGCGAAAGCGUGGGGAGCAAACAGGAUUAGAUACCCUGGUAGUCCACGCCGUAAACGAUGGGUACUAGGUGUUGGGGGCUUG
rnacentral:rRNA from 1 species